rnacentral:rRNA from 1 species
AUUGAACGCUGGCGGCAGGCCUAACACAUGCAAGUCGAACGAGUGGCGGACGGGUGAGUAAUGUCUGGGAAACUGCCUGAUGGAGGGGGAUAACUACUGGAAACGGUAGCUAAUACCGCAUACCAUCGGAUUUGCCCAGAUGGGAUUAGCUAGUAGGUGGGGUAACGGCUCACCUAGGCGACGAUCCCUAGCUGGGCCGAGAGGAUGACCGGCAACACUGGAACUGAGACACGGUCCAGACUCCUACGGGAGGCAGCAGUGGGGAAUAUUGCACAAGGGGCGCAAGCCUAAUGCAGCCAUGCCGCGUGUAGGAAGAAGGCCUUCGGGUUGUAAAGUACUUUCAGCGGGGAGGCGUUACCCGCAGAAGAAGCACCGGCUAACUCCGUGCCAGCAGCCGCGGUAAUUC